rnacentral:rRNA from 1 species
UACAGAGGGUGCAAGCGUUAAUCGGAAUUACUGGGCGUAAAGCGUGCGUAGACGGUUAUGUAAGUCAGAUGUGAAAGCCCCCGGGCUUAACCUGGGAAUGGCAUUUGAGACUGCAUAGCUAGGGUGCGGAAGAGGGAAGCGGAAUUUCCGGUGUAGCGGUGAAAUGCGUAGAUAUCGGAAGGAACACCAGUGGCGAAAGCGGCUUCCUGGUCCAGCACCGACGUUCAGGCACGAAAGCGUGGGGAGCAAACCAGGAUUGAGAAACCCCGGU